UGUAUCAGAAUUUAUCUUUCUGGUUUGAUUCAUAAUCUUGAAGCUAAUCUUUGUUUCUGAAUUAGGAAAGAGGCUUGACUGUCAGCCCUGAAGCAUCUCCUGGGAUGUCCUUGAGCUCUGAGCGUUCAUGAUGCUGCUUUUUAUUAGGAGCAAGAAGACAAUGAUGAGGUCAUGUGAAGUUCUGCGCUCAUGUAGUAUCAGAUACAGAGGCUGCAGCCCUAUUCCUAUGAACAGAACAGGUACAAUACAGAGAAUCAUACUCCAUAUGUCUUCAGCAUUCCUUUAAAUCCAGUGUUUCUGAAUGCAGUUCAACUAGAGGACAUCCGUACUUGCCUGUCUUGAAUUUCUCUGCAGUUACCACUAUAGCAUCUAAAUCCUGAAUAUAUAAUUAAGCUACCUACAUUGAAGUUGUAAUUGAGCUCUACUAAGAACAAAAAUUGAUUUUAACUUAAAGGGUUUAAAAU
rnacentral:lncRNA from 1 species